rnacentral:rRNA from 1 species
UUCCCAGACUCCUACGGGAGGCAGCAGUGGGGAAUAUUGCACAAUGGGGGAAACCCUGAUGCAGCGACGCCGCGUGAGUGAAGAAGUAUUUCGGUAUGUAAAGCUCUAUCAGCAGGGAAGAAAAUGACGGUACCUGACUAAGAAGCCCCGGCUAACUACGUGCCAGCAGCCGCGGUAAUACGUAGGGGGCAAGCGUUAUCCGGAUUUACUGGGUGUAAAGGGAGCGUAGACGGCAUGGCAAGUCAGAUGUGAAAACCACGGGCUCAACCUGUGGCCUGCAUUUGAAACUGUAGUUCUUGAGUACUGGAGAGGCAGACGGAAUUCCUAGUGUAGCGGUGAAAUGCGUAGAUAUUAGGAGGAACACCAGUGGCGAAGGCGGUCUGCUGGACAGCAACUGACGCUGAGGCGCGAAAGCGUGGGGAGCAAACAGGAUUAGAUACCCGUGUAAA